rnacentral:lncRNA from 1 species
CGGAGGAGAGCAGAUCUGAGUUUUAUAUCUGGGAUUAUCCCUCUCCAAGGAUUGUCCCCCUUCUUCUCGCAAGCUCUAUGGGCAUCAAUCACCGCAGAGGCGAUUAGUUUGUUCUUUUUCUUUCCAUUGUACUGAAAAAACACGCUGGUAAUCAAAAUAAUAAUUGAGUGUAUGUUUUAGGUAUUGAUUAAUAUACUCUUAAAUACAAUUGUUUUUUCAUGUUUUUCUCGGG